rnacentral:rRNA from 2 species
CGGUUUAAGCGUGUAGGUGUGUGUUCCAGGUAAAUCCGGUUCACUUUAACACUGAGGCGUGACGACGAGGCACUACGGUGCUGAAGCAACAAAUGCCCUGCUUCCAGGAAAAGCCUCUAAGCAUCAGGUAACAUCAAAUCGUACCCCAAACCGACACAGGUGGUCAGGUAGAGAAUACCAAGGCGCUUGAGAGAACUCGGGUGAAGGAACUAGGCAAAAUGGUGCCGUAACUUCGGGAGAAGGCACGCUGACACGUAGGUGAAGUGAUUUACUCAUGGAGCUGAAGUCAGUCGAAGAUACCAGCUGGCUGCAACUGUUUAUUAAAAACACAGCACUGUGCAAACACGAAAGUGGACGUAUACGGUGUGACGCCUGCCCGGUGCCGGAAGGUUAAUUGAUGGGGUCAGCGCAAGCGAAGCUCCUGAUCGAAGCCCCGGUAAACGGCGGCCGUAACUAUAACGGUCCUAAGGUAGCGAAAUUCCUUGUCGGGUAAGUUCCGACCUGCACGAAUGGCGUAAUGAUGGCCAGGCUGUCUCCACCCGAGACUCAGUGAAAUUGAACUCGCUGUGAAGAUGCAGUGUACCCGCGGCAAGACGGAAAGACCCCGUGAACCUUUACUAUAGCUUGACACUGAACAUUGAGCCUUGAUGUGUAGGAUAGGUGGGAGGCUUUGAAGUGUGGACGCCAGUCUGCAUGGAGCCGACCUUGAAAUACCACCCUUUAAUGUUUGAUGUUCUAACGUGGACCCGUUACCCGGGUUGCGGACAGUGUCUGGUGGGUAGUUUGACUGGGGCGGUCUCCUCCUAAAGAGUAACGGAGGAGCACGAAGGUUGGCUAAUCCUGGUCGGACAUCAGGAGGUUAGUGCAAUGGCAUAAGCCAGCUUGACUGCGAGCGUGACGGCGCGAGCAGGUGCGAAAGCAGGUCAUAGUGAUCCGGUGGUUCUGAAUGGAAGGGCCAUCGCUCAACGGAUAAAAGGUACUCCGGGGAUAACAGGCUGAUACCGCCCAAGAGUUCAUAUCGACGGCGGUGUUUGGCACCUCGAUGUCGGCUCAUCACAUCCUGGGGCUGAAGUAGGUCCCAAGGGUAUGGCUGUUCGCCAUUUAAAGUGGUACGCGAGCUGGGUUUAGAACGUCGUGAGACAGUUCGGUCCCUAUCUGCCGUGGGCGCUGGAGAACUGAGGGGGGCUGCUCCUAGUACGAGAGGACCGGAGUGGACGCAUCACUGGUGUUCGGGUUGUCAUGCCAAUGGCACUGCCCGGUAGCUAAAUGCGGAAGAGAUAAGUGCUGAAAGCAUCUAAGCACGAAACUUGCCCCGA